rnacentral:rRNA from 1 species
GAGUUUGAUCCUGGCUCAGAUUGAACGCUGGCGGCAUGCUUUACACAUGCAAGUCGAACGGCAGCACGGGGGCAACCCUGGUGGCGAGUGGCGAACGGGCGAGUAAUAUAUCGGAACGUGUCCGGAAGUGGGGGAUAGCUCGGCGAAAGCCGGAUUAAUACCGCAUAUGCCCUGAGGGGGAAAGGAGGGGAUCCGCAAGGACCUUUCGCUUUCGGAGUGGCCGAUAUCGGAUUAGCUAGUUGGUGGGGUAAAGGCUCACCAAGGCGACGAUCCGUAGCUGGUCUGAGAGGACGACCAGCCACACUGGAACUGAGACACGGUCCAGACUCCUACGGGAGGCAGCAGUGGGGAAUUUUGGACAAUGGGGGAAACCCUGAUCCAGCCAUGCCGCGUGAGUGAAGAAGGCCUUCGGGUUGUAAAGCUCUUUCAGACGGAAAGAAACGGUUACGGCUAAUACCCGUGACUAAUGACGGUACCGUCAGAAGAAGCACCGGCUAACUACGUGCCAGCAGCCGCGGUAAUACGUAGGGUGCGAGCGUUAAUCGGAAUUACUGGGCGUAAAGCGUGCGCAGGCGGUUUUGUAAGACAGGUGUGAAAUCCCCGGGCUUAACCUGGGAACUGCAUUUGUGACUGC